GAUGAACGCUGGCGGCGUGCCUAAUACAUGCAAGUCGAGCGAACAGAUGAGGAGCUUGCUCCUCUGACGUUAGCGGCGGACGGGUGAGUAACACGUGGAUAGCCUACCUAUAAGACUGGGAUAACUUCGGGAAACCGGAGCUAAUACCGUAUAAUAUAUUGAACCGCAUUGUUCAAUAGUGAAAGACGGUUUUUGUGGCGGUUGUAGAUGGAUCCGCGCCUCAUUAGCUAGUUGGUAGGGUAACGGCUUACCAAGGCAACGAUGGGUAGACGACCUGAGAGGGUGAACGGAAACAUGGGGAAGGAGAGAGGGACCAGACUCAGACGGGAGGAAGCAGUGGGGAAUAUUGCAAAAUGGGCGGAAGAAUGAUGCAGCAAAGCCGAGGGAGGGAUGAAGGACUUCGGGUGGUAAACCGAUUUCGCCUGUGACGAAGCGUGAGUGACGGUAAUGGGUAAAGAAGCACCGGAUAACUACGUG
rnacentral:rRNA from 1 species